rnacentral:rRNA from 1 species
CCCUUAGAUGUUCUGGGCAGCACGCGCGCUACAAUGGACUUCGCAAACGGAUGCAUUCUCGAAGGAGAAUGCCAAUCUUGGAAUCUAUGCCUUGGUCGGGACAGUUGCUUGCAAUUUUUCGACUCGAACCAGGAAUUCCUUGUAAUCGUGAUUCAUCACAUCACGAUGAAUACGUCCCUGCCCUUUGUACACACCGCCCGUCGCUCCUACCGAUCGAAGAGUUAGGUGAAUUGUUUUGAUCGAUAAGAUUUGACUAUGGUCAACUCUCGUUGUGAAAUUCUGUGAAUCUGACUGUUUAGAGGAAGGAAAAGUCGUAACA